AUUGAUGUAAGAUGAUUAGCUCAAAUAACACAACUAAUAAAGAGUUUAUGGAUUUAAUUCUCCAUAUAACAAAACUAACAACCUUUUCUUUUUUAGUUUAUAACCACUCAGGUUGAGGCCAAGUGAAUUAAAAAGAUUAUUUAAAAGAAAAUAAAAAUAAAGAGAUGAGUAUAUAAAAUUUAAUUACUUGUGGUUUGGUAAUGUAAGAAGGUGGUCUAUGUCGAUAGAACAUUGUUGGUGUUGCAUGUGACAAAACAACAAUUAUGGAGAAUGUGAGGAUUAAGGUAAGAGCUUUCAUGAUUUUGUUAACCUCUUUUCUUUGUAUCAAAGAGAAGAGAAGGAGGAAUACCUAAUUGAUUUUAGAUAUUGUUGGGUUAUAUUAUAGUAUUACAAAGGCCAAGGACGAUAUUUAACGACGCCAUUAAAUGCUAACAAUACACAAUAUUCUUUUUUUAAUCUUGUGUAAACCACCCAAAUAGUGCUUAAUUUUGUAGAGCAAUCUAAUAGGUCUAUGAGAUUAUCGGUAUUUUAAAAUUGUUAAAUGUUAUUCAUUUCAGUCUUUUUGAUGAUACGUGGUUAAAUUGUAAUUUCGAUAUUAAUGUGAGAGAUUAAAUUGAUAGUAAAUUGUUAAAUAUAUAAAUUAAAUUGUUUGAAGGUGAUUAAAAGUACGAGGUGGUUUUGGGUCAUUUUAUGACCUAGUAUCAUCAUUGUGCUUCAUUUCCCCUAUUUUAACUUAAAUAAGUGGUUUCUAUAUAAAUUAAAAUUUUCUUUUAUGUUUUUUUUCAGUGAUUUCAUAGUAUCAAAUCGAUAUUGUCUGAUUUCUAGUCUUAAUGCAAAAUUUGUUGUUUUUUCGUUUUAUUAUUGUGUUAUUUUGAUUUAGAUUGACAAAUCAACUUCGAUCAUGAUUCAACCAAUCGUUAGGUCGUCAAGUUGCAGAUUCGGAGACAUGAAUAUUCCGAUCACUUUGAUUUUGUCAAAUUAUUUAUAAAUAUUGUAUCGUUCUAUAUUAUUAAUUUAUAUGAUGUGAAUAUAUUCACACAUUCAUCUUUUUUUUUUUUUUAACGAUGUUGAAUUUGUAUUUAAUGUACUCUACGAAUUUGAUUUUAAUAUAUAUUAGCAUUAGAUUAAAUAUGUCUUUACACAUGCCAUGAAAAGUAAUUGUUUUUAAGGAAACGUAGUUAUUAAUAGAAGAAAAAAAGCAAAUUGUACGUCUUUGGAAAUUGGAAUCAUUAAUGGCUUCAUGGUAGAACAAAAGGGUGAUGUUGAAUGCAAUAAUUCACUAACUCUUCUCCUUUACUAAGAAAUCAUCCAAUAAUUGUUGAUUUGGUCCUUUCGUUAUAAUUUGUUUCUGCAAUGGAUUCGGUUAUCUUAAAAGUCAAUAAGUUUUCUCAACAAUUUAUUUUGUAUUUUAUGAAAACAAAUCUUUUAUUCUAUAGUUUGUUUUGCGAGUAUUUUUCCUUAAUUAUGAAUCUGUAUUUGAUUUCAAUGAUGAUUAGCACUAACUCAUCUUUUUAUCGUAAUUAACUACAUUGAAUGUUUGGUAACGGGCCUUAGAUAGGUCCAAUUGGUCUUACACAUUUGGAAAAUAGUAAUUUAUUGUUAUAUUAAAUCACUACGCCAAAAAUGACAUUUUAUAGCGCGUCUUUUAUAGCGCUUAUUAAAUACAAGCGCUGUUGUAUGAUAUUUUAAAAAUAACGGAGGAUAUAAUAGCGCUUUUUUGACAAGCGCUGUAAAAAAAGCGCUGUAAAAGACUUUGAUUUCACAUAAUUAAAGGACAUAUUAGAGCGCUUUUUGGAAAAACGCUGUAAAAAGGUUUUUAAAAAAAAAUAAGGAGGUCUUUUACAGCGCUUUUGGACAAGCGCUUUAAAAAGUCUGUAAAAAAGCGUUGUAAUAGACUUUCAAAAAAUAAAAUAAGGAGGUCUUUUACAACGCUCUUUAAAAAAGCGCUGUAAUAGGCUUUUAAAAAAUAAAAUAAGGAGGUCUUUUAUAGCGCUUUUUUAAAAAGCGCUGUAAUAGGCUUUUAAAAGUAAAAUAAGGAGGUCUUUUACAACGCUCUUUAAAAAAAGCGUUGUAAUAGGCUUUUAAAAAAUAAAAUAAGGAGGUCUUUUACAGCGCUCUUUAAAAAAGUGUUGUAAUAGGCUUUUAAAAAGUAAAAUAAGGUCUUUUACAGCGCUUUUUAAAAAAAACGCUGUAAUAGGCUUUUAAAAGUAAAAUAAGGAGGUCUUUUACAGCGCUUUUUAAAAAAAGCGCUGUAAUAGGCUUUUAAAAAAUAAAAUAAGGUCUUUCACAGCGUUUUUUAAAAAAAGCGCUGUAAUAGGCUUUUAAAAGUAAAAUAAGGAGGUCUUUUACAGCGCUUUUUAAAAAAAGCGCUGUAAUAGGCUUUUAAAAAAUAAAAUAAGGUCUUUUACAGCGCUUUGUAAAAAAAGCGCUGUAAUAGGCUUUUAAAAGUAAAAUAAGGAGGUCUUUUACAGCGCUUUUUAAAAAAAGCGCUGUAAUAGGCUUUUAAAAAAUAAAAUAUAACAGUAAAUCGCUUCAGUUUCCUCUUUAUUACAUAAACUUCACUACACUUCAGUGUCCUUCUCCUCUUCAUUAUCCUUCUCAUUGCGAACCCUAAUGUCCCUAUGAACCAUAUUGUUAACCAUCUCCAUUGCAAAUCAUCUCCAUAUUUGUUACUAUCCCUACAAACAUUAUUACGUACUCUUCUCAAUGAGAACCCUACUCUGUCCUACGAACCGUUCGUAUUUCUGCGCAUUCUCGCUGUUUCUUCUUAAACGAAACCGUAACCUUAUGAACUCUACGUAUUUCUUCGCACUCUUCAGGUAUUGUAUUCAUUUAUUCAUUUAUUUCUUAUAUAUAUAUAUAUAAUGUGUCUGUUAAUGCUAAUAAUCACAUUUAUUUGAUAGUGUUUUACAAGUUUUCCGAGCUCAAAUGGGUGCUACAGUGUCGAAGCAAAAAUCAAAUAAAUCACAUGGAUUCCAAUAAAGGUUUGAAAUGUAUGGCUUUAAAAUUUCAUUAACAAUCAAUCUACAAAUAUUUAUUGACUUAUAUGUUUUAUUUUAUAGUGCUCUCGUCAAACUAACAACAUAGACUGUGGAUACUGUAUAUUACGAUUCAUGAAGGAGAUUGUUGUUAUAAUCCCAGAAAGAGAUCUAAUUGAAAUAAAGGAAUGAAUAUUACAGCGCUUUUUUUAAAAAGCGCCGUAAAACUAAUACAACAAGCAGCGCGUUUUUAGAAGAGAUUUAGAGCGCUUUUUUUAUUUUAAAGAGCGUUGUUGUAUCUUUUUACAGCGCUGGAUACUACAGCGCUUAAUUUUUUGGAAAAGCGCUGUAAAUGGCUUAAAAAAAGCGCUGUAAAAUACCAUUUUUCGCGUAGUGAAUAUUUUCUAGUUCUAAGCAAUUUAAAUUUGUACACAUUUAUUGUGUAUGAGGAGACUAAUGUAACUUUUUUUUUUUAUGAAUAAAAUAGUGUAAAACCCUACAUCUGUUAAUGAUGAUAAUAUUGAUUAUAAUAGAAGUAUAUCAAAAAAAAAAACAUCAACAAAUGAAUAUUUAUUGUGGACUUUUGAUAAGUUAAAAAAUAAGUUUUAAUAUAUAUGCAAAUAUUUCAAAUUUGAAGUUCAAGUUUUACAUAAUUUUCAUGAAGAAAACAUUAUGUCAAAAUAUACAUGGUUCAAAUAUAUGAUAAAUGAAUUGUUAACUAAAGAAAAUCACAAGUUAACGCCGAAGAAACUUUGAUUGAAAACCUAAAAACAUAAAUAUACAUAAUUAUAAAUGCGUGAAGAUUAAAGAAUAAAACUAAAAUGCAACUUAAGAUUAAAAUAAAUAAAUAAACACUAAAACGCAAAUUUGAAACAAUGCCAUAAAUUUAAAUCAUAAAAAGUCCACAAUUGUGCACAUUUAAUAAAAAAUGCUUGAUUAUUCGGUCACGAAAGGAUAUGACGAAUCAAAAUAAAAUAGUGUGAGUUUAUUCGGAAUAGGAAGUUGCGACUAUUGUUUAUUUAUCGAAAAACAUUGAACCUUUUAAAAAAAAGUCUUCAAAAUGAUAUUCUAGAUUUGUGAGUGUGUUAUGGUAAGAAAGAUAUUAGUAUAACUCGUUCGAACAAUGGUACCUCUAAUUAAAUAUGUCAAAUUAAUGUUGACUUUAAUAUGUUUAUUUUACCUUGAAAAUAAAAACAAUAUUUUAAAUAUUAUUUAUCAUUUUAUAAUUUUUGUUUAUAAAAGGGAUAAAUUAAGAAAAAAUUAUUAUAUAGCUUGAUAGAGUGUUUCCCUACUCAAACGUAUCCUUCGGUGUAAUAGAAAAUCAAAACAACGUAGUUUUGAGUAUAAAAUAUUUGUGCAUUGGUUUAUUUUAGUUAAUUAGGAAAAAAGUGUAAUUCAAGACUGGCAAACUGUAUCGUUUGUGUCAUGAAGAUUACAGGAUAAAAAAGAUGUGCAUCUAAUUAAUUCUUAACAAGUAAAAAAAAAAUAUUAUUGAUUAACUUAUUUGAAAUAUAUAAUUUCGAAUUAGCAAAUUGUACGACUUGAUGUCCCGACAAAUCUAAAAUUAAAGAGAUAUUGCAUCUAAUUAAUUAGUCCCAUUUUAAAAGAGAGUUGUUUUUUAUUGAUUUUUUUUUAAAAAAGGAAUUCAUGUCAAUCAAAUCGUAUAAUAAAAUGUGGUAAAUUCCACUAUAAUUCAUUCACACAAUUGUGAAGUCUCGGUUUCGAAUUUAGAAUAAGACUUUCAACCUAAGAAUAUCAAAAGUAAAAAUAGAGUGCGGUUUGUUAAGAAAAUGAACAAAAUAAAACAAGUAAUAUUGAAACAAUAAUAUUAAAAAAGAAAAGAAAGAAAUGGACUUGAAUUCCCUCUCCUUUUUUGUUUUUGCAAAAAUGAGUAAAAGAAAAGAAUAGAAAGUAAACACUCGAAUAAAUGGAUCUCAAAUAUUAAAGUAAUAUAUAUAUAUAUAUAUAAGCGGUCAAAGUUACUUCAAAAUAAAAAUAAGAAAUAGUAAAAUAAAUGUGGUUUGCUAUUGAGCAAAGGAAUAAAAGAAUCAAGGUUGGAUUCUGAUUAGGAUGAAUAUACGAUGAAUUGAAAGGGUUUGUAACAAAAUCUGAAUAUGUAUUUUCACAUCCAUCUCAUGAAAACAAAGAGAAAAUUAAAAAGACGAAAAAGUCAAAAAAAUAAAAGGUAGAAAAUGCAAAUAAAUAUUAGGGAAGAUCUAAUAGCAUAUUGAUGUAAGAACAACGCAAAAAGAAAUAUUGAAUACUAUCAUUAAAUAUUUCUUAGUCUCUUAUUUAAGUAGUGCAUAAAUCACUUAUUAGAAGGAAGCUUACACAAGUUGCGGCCAUAGCCAAGACCAUCAUUAGGAAUAGAAGCGUUGAGGUAAACUGCGAGAGGAGGGUGCAUAUAGUCAUUUACAGUAAUAGUCUUUGGUAUCCAACCAUUUGAUCCACGUCUAUAUACAAACACUUUGCAGAUUUUAUCGAUACAAACUUUUGCUGUUAUGUUAAAUAUACUUGUCGUGCAUUGAUCGAACAUCCCAGAAGCAAUACUAUCCAAUCUUGGAACAAGAACCUUCGAUUAAAUAUUAUUAUUAGAAACAUAUUUUUUUUUUAAAUCAAACUGUAGUCAACACAAUAUUCUAACUUGAGACAAGAUAUUAGACACAUUAUAAUUUUUAUUUUACUUUCUCCAAUUUUGUUAUCAAAAAUUUUAAUUAAGAGGAAGAGAAACAUGUAUAUUAUAGGUAGUACCUCAGUGCCAUGAGCGUCUGCAAAUAACAAAUCGAUUUGAUCGGUUGUAGAUGGUGGAGAAUAGCAACUUGUCUCUAUGGUGAUCUUGUAAUUGCAACCCUAAAACAUGUAUAUAGUGCAAAAAAAAUAUGAAUUAAAAAGCUAUUAUAUAUGUUAUUAUUAAUAAAGAGAAGAGUAUAUAAAAUUUAAUUACUUCUCCCUCGACACUGUUAAGCGUGGAAGAUUGGUUGGUUUGAAUUGUAUGUCGAGUGAUCAAAGUUGGUGUUGCUUGCAACAAAUCAACAAUUAUGGAGAAUGUGAAGAUUAAAGUAAAAACUUUCAUGAUUUUGUUAAUAACCUCUUUUUAAUCGCUUUAAAUUUAAAGAAAAGAGAAGGAGAAGCACUUAAUAGAUAUUGUUGGACAUUUUAAAGUCAGGGGCAAUAUUUAACUACACUAUGUACACUAUACUCUUUUCUAAUAUUUUAUUAUAAUUUAGUGUAUUUAUAUUUGUUGGUUAUGGGGUGUUGGAGUUAUAAGUAAAAGUAAUUAAUUUUAUAUUUAUUAAAAAUUUAAUUAAAUAUUAUUAAUAUUGUUGAUCCAAUCAUAUUAAAAAAGUAUUUUAAAAAUACAACUUGCCUUAAUUUAAGGGUGUUAUAGGAGCUUAUAUUUGAGGCUAAAAAAUUUCAGCUCUUUGUGUUGCUUAUAUUAAAGUUUAAAGUAAAAUUGACAAUUGAGAUUAUUUUAUAUAGUAAAAUUGAUUGUGUGAUAUGAACCAUCCGAUCUAAAAUUAGUGGUACGGUGGAAAUAAGAAACUAAUAAUAUUAUUCCAACAUAAUGUAAAACAAUUAUGGAAUGUAAAAGCUAAAUAGAAAGACUAAUUAUAUAGUAAUACUUGUAUAUAAUUAUGCGAUCAAGAUGGUUUUUCCAAAGGAUGUUAAAGUAGUUUAUCCAAUAGUUUGAUCUAUUAAAUUUGCAAUUUGAAUUAUUUUUAUAAAAUAAUUAUAAAUUGUACAAUUAAAUUUUACUCCUUACUAUUAUAUGCAAAAAGUGGUAAAAAAAAAUAUUGGUCACUAUUAUAAGUAAAAUUUAAUUACUUUUGAUUCAUUUAAUGUUAGUUUUUCUAAUAUAUCAUUAUUUUAAUAUAUAAAAUUAUUUAAUAUCAGUUAAUUGAGUUAACAUUCAAGGGGACAAUUUAAUAAAUUUGAAUUAUAUUUUACAUGAAAUCUAAAAAAAUAAUUGUACAUAACUAAUUUUUUUAAUAACAAUAAAAGUAAUUAUUUUUACUUAUAAUUGUGAUUAGAGGGAACAUAAAUUUCUGAAUUAGACAUAAAAUGGAUUUUCAUAUCUUAGCCGUUCAAUUCCUUAUUUAGGUUUUAUUUUAAAAAUAUUAGCUUGAAUAUGUCUUUACAAUGGCCUCAUGGAAGAACCAAAUGUUGUGUGUCAAAUGUAUUUAUUUGUUUUGCUGAAAGAUCGCUGAUUAAUUGUAAAUUUAUGACCUGUUUAUAUUAAUUUUUUUAGUCAUAUACUCACCACAAACUGAAUCAAUAAUAUUUCAUUCGACGUUAAUUAUUAAUUUGAGAAAAAAAUUUCUUUAAACUAAAUAUAUGCCUUUUUCAAAUUAUUAAUUAGAAGUAUUUAUUAAUUUUUUCAAAUAUAUUCUUUAUUAAUAUUACUCCCUUAUUUAUAAAAUAUGUGAAUUAAUAAAAUUUGAUUUAUUUGUUUCAUAUUAAUUGUCCUUAAACUAAAUAAAAUAUUAAUUUUGAUUGACUCAUUUUUAUUUAUAAAUAAUGUUAGAGGGAUUAGAAAAUCUUAAUUUAUCUUGAAAAAGUAAAAAUUAAAAUUGAGCAUAUUUAUAUACACAUAAAAUAGAUAUAUUAAAUUUAUAUUCUUUUAAUUAAUGGUAACACUUGCUAGUGAUCUAAAUAUACAAAUUUAAUAUCAAAAUUGCAUGGAAAUUUGUGCAUUUAACUUUUUAAGAAUUUAAAUUUUAUUUUCUUCAGUACAAAAUUUUCUCUUUUAAUUCGUUAACAAGUACUCUUAGUAAAAUAUUUUUUAGAUAAUUAAGAACUUCUACUGUAUAUUCAUAAAUUAAAGGAUUUUGGUACAUUAUUUUCAAUACCAAUAAAGUAACAAUUAUUUUUAUGCAAAUCACUAUUUGUCAAUUUUUGUAUUUUAGAAAAGAUAAUUUCAUAAAAUAAAACAUUAUUUCGUUAUUUAUAACAAUUAUACUAUUUAAAACAAUUAUACUAUUUUUUUAUUUAAAACAUUGAUUGAUUUUUCCAAAGAAGGAACAUUACACUUAAAUAACCUAGUAUAUAUAAUGUCUCUAAGAAUUACAAAAUAAGAGUUAUUAAAGUUUUUACAAUAAGUUAUUAUAUGAUAAUUGAGAAAUUUAUGUUAGUUUGUUUAGAUUAUUUAAGAAUACUAAGUUUUAGUGUUAAUUAAAGUCAAACACAAUUGUGUGCAUUUAUUUGUUAGAUUUCAUGUGGUUUGUGUAGUGUGAAAGAUCCAACAUGUUUAAUACUCUAUAAGGUGUUGCAAACUGAUGUAGCAUCAAUGUGUGAUUGAUUUAUCUUAAACAUAAUUGAAGGCUUUUGACUACUGAGCUAAAGUUGAGAGAUUGACAAAAACACUAAAGAUAGGAGAAAAAUUAUGGUUUGCAAUCUAGGCGACUGGUGCGAAUUGCAAAGAAUAAGAAAUAUUCCUUAUUCUUUGGGCUUUUCUUGUUCAUUAGCAUUUUAGCAUUGGCCCAAUAUAUAAAUAGAGAAAGUAUAAAUAUAAAGUCUCUCAACCCUAGGUAUGAUUGGUUGAUGCUCAUCUAUUAUCUACCUCGAGCCUCCAUAGCACAAUUAGAGUGAGGUGUUGUAUCACUUACUAGAGAAAGUUGUGUUUGAAAAAUAACAAGUUCUCUUUGGUCAUUCAACUUAGGUUAUUUCUAUUUCAUUUAUAUUAAGUUGUAAUGGAUCUAUAUCUCUAUUCCUUGUGUAUGUUUUAUGUUAUGUUCAUUAUGAGCUAAACCAGAUGUGUUGAAUUAUGUGAAAUUUGAUAUAAAUUAGUUUUAAAGUGAUGUGUAUUGGUGCUUAACAUUUUUAGUCUUUGUAUGUUUAUGCUAUAUAUUUAUUAUCAGGACACUUAGCUUAAAUAUUAGUUCAUUAGAUAUUGAGAUUGUUUAAUAAAUCAAUUUCAAGUGGCUAAUAAUGGUAGUUUGCUUAAUGAACACAUUAAACUAACCUAAGUAUUUAGAUAUAAAAUUUAGAACCAUAAAAUGAAUGAAUUAUUUUAACUGCAUUAAAAUAUAUUUAAUGAGAGUUUAAUCAUAAAAGAAUCUUAAUACUUAUUUUAUUUUUUCAUGUUGACAAACACCUUUUAUUUAUAUUCUGCAUUUAAAUGUUGUAGCACCUCAAAGCAUCACUUUGUAACAUAGACAUAAACAUUUAAAAUAGGCUUAAUUGCAGUUUUGGUCCCCUUAUUUUAGCUAAAUCGCGAAAGUGGUCCCCCCAUUUUGUUUCUCCCCAGUUUUGGUCUCCAAACAGAAUUUUGGUCCAAAACUUGAUGAAAUUUCAUUUUUUAAAGUCGUACUACACCAUUUAUGAUCAUAGAUUUCAGGUACAAUUGUUGCACAUGAGAUCUUGAGGCAUGAUGUGACUUAAAUAAAUGCAAAAAAAAAAAGAAAUUUCAUCAAGUUUUAGACCAAAAUCAUGUUUGGGGACCAAAACUAGAGAGAAACAAAAUGAAGGGACUACUUUCGCUGUUCAGCUAAAAUAGGGGGAUCAAAACUGCAAUUAAGCCUUUAAAAUAAAAUAAAAACUAGUGCAACCGAAUCUCAACCUUAGCGUUAUUUACUUGUUUCAACCUUUCAUUGUACCCCUUUCUUCAAUAACCCUAAAAUAUUACGGGAUGAUGACUUCAUCUAUUGGCCUAAAAUAAAUACUAGAGGAAUUUACCAUAUUUAAGUGUAAAUAAGUUUUAAGGUUUAGCUAGGGACACAAAUAUUCAUAGAGAGUUAAGUAUUUUACUAUUUUGUAUCAUUAAUUUUAAAAUGUAGUUUAAAAAAAACUAACAUGGAAAAAUUUGAACUUUCAAAUAAAUGACAUUUGAACUUAAUUUAUAUCUACACUAAAUAUUCAAUAAAACUAUAAAUGAUCCAAAUUGUCCUUCAUUAUAAUAAAACAAAUUUUCAUGAAGAAAACAUUAUGUCAAAAUAUACAUAGUUCAAAAAUAUGAUAAAUGAAUUGUUAACUAAAGAAAAUCACAAGUUGAAUGCGGAAGAGUAAACUAUAAAUGAAUGUAUAAUACAAGUUAGUGCAGUAAAAUUACAGAAAUAAAAUUUAACCAGAAACUUUGAUUGAAAACCUAAAAACAUAAAUAUACAUAAUUAUAAAUGCGUGAAGAUUAAAGAAUAAAACUAAAAUGCAAGUUAAGAUAAAAAUAAAUAAAAAACACUAAUACGCAAAUUUGAAACAAUGCCAUAAUUUAAAGCAUAAAAAGUCCACAGUUGUGCUCAUUUAAUAAAAAAUGCUUGAUUAUUCGGUCACGAAAGGAUAUAACGAAUCAAAAUAAAAUUGUGUAAGUUUAUUCAAAAUAGGAAGUUGAACCUAUUGUUUGUUUAUUGAAAAACAUUGAGAAAACCUUUAAAAAAGUCUUCAAAAUAAUAUUCUAGAUUUGUGAGUGUGUAUUUUGCGUAAAGAAGAUAUUAGUAUAAUUCGUUUGAAAAAUAGUUCAAAAAAUGGUACCUCUAAUUAAAUUUGUAAAAUUAAUGUAGACUUUAAUAUGUUUAUUUUACCCCGAAAAUAAAAAUAAUAUUUAAAUAUUAUUUAUCAUUUUAUAAUUUUUGUUUAUAAAGGGGAUAAAUUAAGAAAAAAUUAUUGUAUAGCUUGAUAGGGUGUUUCCCUACUCCAACGUAUCCUUCAAUGUAAUAGAAAAUCAAACAACGUAGUUUUGAGUAGAAAAUAUUUGUGCAUUGGUUUAUUUGAGUUACUUGCGAAAAAGUGAAAGUCAAGACCGGUAAAUUGUAUCGCUUGUGUCCUGAAGAUUCCAAGAUAAAAAAGAUGUGCAUCUAAUUAAUUCUUAACAAGUAAAAAAAAUAUUAUUGAUUAUUUUUAUUUCAAAUAUAGAAUUUCAAACUAGCAAAUUGUGCAACUUGAUGUCCCGACAAAUCUAAGAUUAAAGAGAUAUUGCAUUUUAAAAGAGAAUUGGUUUUUAUUGAUUUUUUUUUUAAAAAAAAGGGGAAUUCAUAACAAUCAAGUCGUAUAAUAAAAUGUGGUAAAUUCCACUAUAAGUAAUUCACACAAUUGUGAGAUAUCGAUUUCAAAUUUAGGAUAAGAUGUCUAACCUAAAAAUAUCAAAAGUAAAAAUAAAAUGCGGUUUGUUAAGGAAAUGAAUAAAAUAAAACAAGUAAUAUUGAAACAAUAAUAUUAAGAAAGAAAUGGGCUUGAAUUCCCUCUCCUUUUUUCUUUUUGCAAAAAUUAGUAAAAGAAAAGAAUAUAAAGUAAACUCUCGAAUAAAUGGAUCUCAAAUAUCAAAGUAAUAUAUAUAUAUAUAUAUUAAAAAUCGGCCAACGAUACUCCAAAAUAAAAAUAAGAAAUAGUAAAAUAAAUGUGAUUCUUGCUAUUGAGCAAAGGAAUAAAAGAAUCAAGGUUGGAUUCUCAUUAGGAUGAAUAUAUGAUGAAUUGGAAGGGUUUGUAACAAAAUAUGAAUAUGUAUUUUCACAUCCAUCUCAUGAAAACAACGGAAAAAAAGAUGAAAAAGUCAAAAAAUAAAGGUAGAAAAUACAAACAAAUAUUAGAGAAGAUCUAAUAGCAUAUUAAUGUAAGAACAACGAAAAAAGAAAUAUUGAAUACUAUUAUUAAUACUUGAGAAGUUUAUAUAUAUAUAUAUAUAGAAUACAACUAGAAACAUCCCAAUAUGCAAAGAAAAUAUCCCACGAUUAAAGUACCAACAUGGACACAACCACACCAUUACAAACAUUCAACUUAAUCAUUCAUCUUUUAUCAUUAAAUAUUUCUUACUUAAGUAGUGCAUAAAACACUUAUUAGAAGCAAGCUUAUUUCAAGACUAACCUCCAUACAUAUAAUUCUUCAUGAAACACAAUAAGCUUAUCUUUAUUAAAGAAAACAAAGAAAUAGUCUUAACAUGAAAACUAAGUUUUUCCACAAAAGUUGUGGCCAUAGCCAGCACCAUCAUUAGGAAUAUGAGUGUUGAGGUAAAUUGUGAGAGGAGGGUCAAUAUAGUCAUAUACAGUAACAGUCUUUGGUAUCCAACCAUUUGAUCCACGUCUAUAUACAUACACUUUGCAGAUUUCAUCGAUACAAAUUUUCCUCUUAUUUUAAAUAUACUUGUCGUGCAUUGAUCGAAUGUCCCAGAAGAACGACCAUCCAAUCUUGGAACAAAAACCUUCAAUUAAAUAUUAUUAUUAGAAACAUAAUUAUUAUUUUUUAUUUUUUUUUAUUUUAAAUCAAACUAUAGUCAACACAAUAUUCUAACUUGAGACAAAAUAUUAGACACAUUAAUUAGUUAGUUAUUAAUACAAGUUAUGUGCACUAGGUAAUUAAUUAAUUAUAGUAAUAAUUUGUUUAAUUCAAUAUAAUUUUUAUUUUACUUUCUCCAAUUUUGUUAUCAAAAAUUUUAAUUAAGAGGUUGAGAAAAAUGUUUAAGCAAAACAUUUGAUCUCUCAUCGUUAUUAAGAAAUUCAUAACGUGUGAAUAGCAGCAAUGACAAUGUUGAUGUUAAUAUGGAUAUAUAUAUAUAUAUAUAUAUAUAUAUAUAUAAUUGAUCGAUAGGGUACAUGAGAAAGUGAUUGAUGAAAUCUAACCCCAACAAAUUAAUGUCACCGUUAAAUUUACAUUACUUUUGUUGUUUUUCUUUAUCUAAUUGAAUUCAUGAACAAAACUUUCAUACUACAAUUCACUUAGAGCCAUAACUUUGUUGAACGGCUAUAUAUUGCACAAGUCCUUGUGGAUACGAUAUCUCAUAUACUUAUUUUUGAUACAAUCAUCAGUUUAGCUUUGAGUGAAGAUUCUUGGAAUUGUUUAACUUUAAGUGAACAUUUUUGAAGUGGUUUACCUUCAAAUGAAAAUUCUUAAAGUAGUUUAAAUUCAAGUGGAGUAUACUUUUUAUGGUGGAGUAUGAUAGUUCUUUUGAUCUAUGAUUGUCGAUGUAGACAAUGGAAGUUGAAGAUGCAUCCAUUUCAAUCAAUGUGGAGAUUAAUGAGUCUGGUUGAAAAUAAAGAAUAUUGAAAAAGUCUCACAUUACUUAAAAUUGUAAAGAAAGAGAGAAUUAAAGACUAUAUAUAUGAAAAUAUAUCUUAAAUACUAUUAUUAAUAAUUGAGAAGUUUAGGAACAUUCCAAUAUGUAACAAAAAUAUGAGACGAUAAAAGUAGCAACAUGGUGACGAACGACACCAUUACAAACAUGCAACUUAAUCAUUAAAUAUUUGUUACUUAUGUAGUACAUAAAACACUUAUUAUAGAAGAAACCUUAGCUUCUAUAUUUUAUGAAAUAUAAUAAACUUAUCUUUGUUAAAAAAAGUUUAUUACAAUAGUAGAGUAGUUUAGGAACGUAAUUAAAAUCAAAAUAUAUAGUUGCUCCUAUAGUCUUCAAAGCCAAAAGUGUCAUUGGGAAAAUUAAAUGUGAUAGGAGGGUUCUUAGAGUCUUCUAUGGUGACAUAAUCUGCUAUCCAUUUCAUAGGUAGAAAAUGCGAUGUUAAUGGUUCCCGAGCUAGCCUCACUUUGCAGAUUUUGUCGAGACAUGGUUCCGUUGUCUUAAAUAUAUUUGUCCCGUUUUGCGUGAAGAUAUCAGAUUCGGUAUGAAUCUGCAAUUAAAUUCAUUUUUACUUCAUUAAACAAAAUUAAAUAUUAUAUGCUUAAUUUAAUUUUUCGUAAUAGAGAAUAGAAUUACCCAAAGGUCCUUAGCGUCUCCAAAAAACAUACUGACCCUGAGUUUUUUUGUAUCUGCUUGAGGAAGGAAUCUUAUCUCUACGGUGAUCGUGUAUUUGCAUGUUCCAUUCUGCAACAUAUAUACAGCCUUUUAUUAAAUAUGCAAUAAAAUAUCAUUUUAAUAAUUAAAAAUAGUGUAGACCAUUGAUGUAAGAUGAUUAGCUCAAAUAACACAACUAAUAAAGAGUUUAUGGAUUUAAUUCUCCAUAUAACAAAACUAACAACCUUUUCUUUUUUAGUUUAUAACCACUCAGGUUGAGGCCAAGUGAAUUAAAAAGAUAUAUUCUGUGUUUGGGUUAAUUAGUAUUUAAAAGAAAAUAAAAAUAAAGAGAUGAGUAUAUAAAAUUUAAUUACUUGUGGUUUGGUAAUGUGAGAAGGUGGUCUAUGUCGAUAGAACAUUGUUGGUGUUGCAUGUGACAAAACAACAAUUAUGGAGAAUGUGAGGAUUAAGGUAAGAGCUUUCAUGAUUUUGUUAACCUCUUUUCUUUGUAUCAAAGAGAAGAGAAGGAGGAAUACCUAAUUGAUUUUAGAUAUUGUUGGGUUAUAUUAUA
rnacentral:lncRNA from 1 species